CCAGUUCUAAACCUUCCAAAUUGCUAUAUCAGUUCUCACAAUUCCAACAAACUGUCCUCUAAAGUUCUUGCCAUGAUUCUUGUUCUUUCCGUAACUAUCUCCAUGGCUACUGCUAUAUUAACCUUAGUCGUUGUUAGACAUAAUACGAGAAAGAAGCAAAAUCGUGAUCUGGCAACAUGGAAGAUGACCACAUUCCAUAAAGUGGAUUUCACAGAAGCAAACAUUUUGGAAGGUUUGACAGAAAAUAAUCUAAUUGGAAGUGGAGGGUCAGGGAAGGUAUACCGCAUUGUUGUGAACCAUAUAGGAGAAUUUGUUGCAGUUAAGAGGAUUUCGAGCAAUAGAAAAUUUGAUGGGAAGCUCGAGAAAGAAUUUGCGGCUGAAGUUCAAAUCCUAGGCACAGUUAGACACUCAAAUAUAGUGAAGUUGUUGUGCUGCAUUUCAAGUGAGGAAUCGAAGCUUCUUGUUUACGAGUAUAUGGA
rnacentral:misc_RNA from 1 species